GCAAUUUGGGGAAAGUUAGGGUUAUGUUUACAGAACUUGGAUCAGAGAAUGAGGCCGGCGAGAGGAAAAGUGAGGUUUCUGAGGGUGGUUGCCCUUCUUCCGACCGAUGAUUUCGUCUUGUUCCUACAAAUCAACAACCCUCAUCGGUUUUUUUUCAUAACAUCUUAUGUGGGAUAGCCAUAUGGUGGUGAGAUAGUUUCAGUUGGUCCUGCUAUAUGUUAUAGGCCAAGAUACCUGGUGCGGGCCAGCUAUAAGUUGUAGGUACGAAGAUUCGAGAAGAGCGGUUAGAUUAAGGCAUCAUGCCAACAAACCCUGGGUAUUCCAGUCCGAUGAUUGAUUGGACCUGUUGCAUGUUGACAUUCCAGUUCGAUGAUUGGGCCAAGGUUCUAUCCUUGGUCGUGGGAAGGCGAAUGCAUGAAUCUACACACUCAUCAACAUUAUUGAGGAUUACGCAUUUCUUAUAUGACUAUAAUUUUCGAUAAAUGUAUUUUGGAAUAAACGUUUUUUUUAAUAAUGAAUUUAUAAUUAGGGA